AACGAACGCUGGCGGCAUGCCUAACACAUGCAAGUCGAACGAGACCUUCGGGUCUAGUGGCGCACGGGUGCGUAACGCGUGGGAACCUGCCCUUAGGUUCGGAAUAACUCCCCGAAAGGGGUGCUAAUACCGGAUAGUGUCUUCGGACCAAAGAUUUAUCGCCUUUGGAUGGGCCCGCGUUGGAUUAGCUAGUUGGUAGGGUAAAAGCCUACCAAGGCGACGAUCCAUAGCUGGUCUGAGAGGAUGAUCAGCCACACUGGGACUGAGACACGGCCCAGACUCCUACGGGAGGCAGCAGUGGGGAAUAUUGGACAAUGGGCGAAAGCCUGAUCCAGCAAUGCCGCGUGAGUGAUGAAGGCCUUAGGGUUGUAAAGCUCUUUUACCCGGGAUGAUAAUGACAGUACCGGGAGAAUAAGCUCCGGCUAACUCCGUG
rnacentral:rRNA from 1 species